rnacentral:rRNA from 1 species
GCAAGUCGAACGGUAGGGAAUGCUUGCAUUCCUGAGAGUGGCGAACGGGUGAGUAACACGUAGAUGAUCUACCUUUUAGUUGGGGAUAGCCCAUGGAAACAUGGAGUAAUACCGAAUAAUCUCUUUAGACUUUAGUUUUAAGAGGAAAGCAGCGUUUGCUGUGCUGAAAGAUGAGUCUGCGCACUAUUAGCUAGUUGGUGGUGUAAUGGACUACCAAGGCGACGAUAGUUAGCCGACCUGAGAGGGUGAUC